GUUGUGUUGGAUUGGAAGUGAAGUUGCUUUGACGGUAAUUUUCGGUGUUUUCUCGCGGCUUUGAUAGUUUGGUUUAAUAAAUAGUUUAACGCAUUUAAUUCGUGUGUAUUUGGUCAAAAGAAUGUGUUUUCGUGAAAUUCAUCGGAAUGGAUAAACAGGAGAUCCGAACGGAUUUUUCACCUGAAGUGUGGGUUUGAUUUUCGGCGACGGCGGCGAAGCAAAAUAAGAGUGAAUUUCAGGCAAUGGAAUUCAGCAGGCCGAUUCUGUAUGCAAUCCUCAGAAUGGGAUACAGAGUGCCUAAUCCAGUACAGCGUAAAUGGAUACGGGUAAAUCCGAUCGAUCCGAUGGAUUAGCGUUUCGCGGAUUUCGACGACGACGGCAAUGGAGAAAAAGGACUGAUUUCAGACCAUGGGGCUGUGCAUGCAGAUCCUGAGGACAAUUCUUAAAAUGUGAUACGUGCCACUUCAAAUGCUGCGCAAAACUGUCCCACUAAUUUGGGGAAUCGCGAUGUGGUUGCAAUGGCCAUGAUAGGCUCGGGUGAAACCGGUUGCUUUUGCAUUCCGCUGUUCGAGAAACUAAAACGACGAGCGAUCAAGUUCUCUGCUAGUGCGUUAAUACUGGCUCACGAGGGGAUGUUUUCGAAUUUUAAAACGAUUCUAGCACUUGCUGCCGGAUGUGAUCGUUUCUAUACGCCAGGUCGAAACCUAGCGGUGGUACACUGUGCGUUUGACGAAGGUGACCGUCUUUUCGAGAUGUGUUUCGGCGAGAGGAAGACUAUCCGAAGGUGGCCCCAAACGAAACAGAUGGUCUGGUUCUCCGCAAGUUGUUGGUCAACUUAACGAAGGCUGGCUUGAGCGAACUAACGCUGAUCCGUUUGAAGAACAAUGUAAUGAAUAAGGCUAAAGACGGAGCGGCAUCUGCGUUGUCUUCUUUUUGCUCGGUCCAUAACUGCACCUCGCCAACUACGCAGUCUACCGUUAAUCAUCUUCCUGACCGUUCUUCUCAUGUCCGUCAAAGAGCGGGCGUAACCGUUUGACGUGACGCUACCGAGCCGCUCGGCUAUGUUGUUUUCCACGAUUGCUGUCAGUCCCCAAACGACAAUCAAAUUAUUCUGGUCCUGUUGGAGGACGGUAUCGAUCAUUAGCUGGAGAAGUAUCCGAAGAUGCCGGGAACUCCUCUGAAACCCAUGUUGGCUCAUCCCAAAAAAGGUGUACAGGAAGAGUUAGAGCGUUUAGAUGGAAUUAAUUUUACCUGCAAAUGGAAGUACGGUUGGUUACCCGAUUGACUAACACACGUGAAAAGCGCGAUCUUCGAUUGCGAAGCUGUAUCAGGAAAAGAAGCAAAUUCUACCCUUCCAUAUCCUUAGCUAGCACCCCCAAAUCAUCUGAAACCGACCUGCGGGUUUCGAGUAAGAAGCCGCUCACUUUUCGCCUCAUCGGAAGCUCAUAUUCACGAUGGUUUUUUUGGCCUGGCUGAAAUAUUGCCAUUACAUUUCAGAACUGCGGAUAGACUGAUCAGGACAACGCAUCAAAAAUUAAACAAACGAAAAAUGGUCACUGAAUUACACUGGGCCGCUUCAGCUGGAUAUGAAAAUCCAUCUGUGGGCAUAACACUAUGUUAAUAAUUGAAAUUUUUAUUAUAAAAUGAAUAGAA